rnacentral:rRNA from 1 species
UACGUAGGGACCAAGCGUUGUUCGGAUUCACUGGGCGUAAAGGGUGCGCAGGCGGGUAAGUAAGUUAGAGGUGAAAUCUCACAGCUCAACUGUGAAACUGCCUUUGAUACUGCUUUUCUUGAGUUAGGGAGAGGUUGAUGGAAUUCCAGGUGUAGCGGUGAAAUGCGUAGAUAUCUGGAAGAACACCGGUGGCGAAGGCGGUCAACUGGCCCUAAACUGACGCUCAGGCACGAAAGCGUGGGGAUCAAACAGG